rnacentral:tRNA from 1 species
ACUAAGGUGGCAGACUAGUGCAAUAGAUUUAAGCUCUAUAUAUAAAUUAAAAUUUCCUUAGUA